AUUGAACGCUGGCGGCAGGCUUAACACAUGCAAGUCGAGCGGGGUGAUGGUGCUUGCACUAUCACUUAGCGGCGGACGGGUGAGUAAUGCUUAGGAAUCUGCCUAUUAGUGGGGGACAACAUCUCGAAAGGGAUGCUAAUACCGCAUACGUCCUACGGGAGAAAGCAGGGGAUCACUUGUGACCUUGCGCUAAUAGAUGAGCCUAAGCCGGAUUAGCUAGUUGGUGGGGUAAAGGCCUACCAAGGCGACGAUCUGUAGCGGGUCUGAGAGGAUGAUCCGCCACACUGGGACUGAGGCACGGCCCAGACUCCUACGGGAGGCAGCAGUGGGGAAUAUUGGACAAUGGGGGGAACCCUGAUCCAGCCAUGCCGCGUGUGUGAAGAAGGCCUUAUGGUUGUAAAGCACUUUAAGCGAGGAGGAGGCUCUUUUGGUUAAUACCCAAGAUGAGUGGACAUUACUCGCAGAAUAAGCACCGGCUAACUCUGUGCCAGCCGCCGCAGUAA
rnacentral:rRNA from 1 species